rnacentral:rRNA from 1 species
GCAAGUCGAACGGUCUCUUCGGAGGCAGUGGCAGACGGGUGAGUAACGCGUGGGAAUCUACCUAUCUCUACGGAACAACAGUUGGAAACGACUGCUAAUACCGUAUACGCCCUUAGGGGGAAAGAUUUAUCGGAGAUAGAUGAGCCCGCGUUAGAUUAGCUAGUUGGUGAGGUAAUGGCUCACCAAGGCGACGAUCAGUAGCUGGUUUGAGAGGACGACC